rnacentral:lncRNA from 1 species
UUCUGUAGCUGAGCUGGGUUUGGGCUUUACUGUUAAUUUAGUAAGAUUCUGUUCACCACAGACUUCAUGUGAUUUGAAGGCCAAAUCAGAACUCUCCUUUUCUUGGGCUCAGGUGCCUGUGGGCUCCAUCUUAGCUCCCCUGCCUUUCCUUGGGUGUCGUCUGGCUCCUGACAUCUGCACCUGGGGGAACCCUCCACCCCCUCCCCCUCCCUGUGGUAAACGCCCCCUGCUUUCUGGGGUGCCUCUGGGGCUUCGCUCGGCCUUGGUCCCUGCCCUUAGACUGCAGCAGGCUUCGUGUGCCUGCGCCCGAGAGGUGGGGCCCUCUGCUUCCCUGUCUCUCUGCAGGCUUCAUGCGCCUGCCCCCGAGAGGUGAGGUCCACUGCUUCCCUGACUCUCUGCAGGCUUCAUGCGCCUGCGCCUGAGAGGUGGGGCCCUCUGCUUCCCUGUCUCUCUGCAGGCCUCAGAAGAAGGCAUGGGGUGUAUGAAGGGCUCGUCCCCCUUCACGUAUGUGCAUUGUAGUACUACUCACAAUAGCAAAGACAUGCAAUCAACUUAAAUACCCAUCAAUGAGAGACUGGAUAAAGAAAAUGUGGUACAUAUAAACCAUGAAAUACUAUGCAGCCGGAAAUCAAAUGUUUCAGAAAUAAUUAAGCAAAUCAAAGCAUGGAACUCUCUAAAAUCAUUAUUAUUUAUACCAUAUUUUAGUGAGAGCAGGAAAUGAUUGACGAUUCCAAAAUUACACAGAAACUUUUCUUUUAUAUAAUUCUUAUCUCAUCCUUCAAAAAUGUCUUUUUGUUAUGUGAUGUGUAUAACAUAGUAACAGUUCUUGUACACAACUUUUAAAUACGUGUGCAUGCUCAUUGGGAUUCACGUUCCGAAUUUCAAAACGUAGUUCUUGUUUCAGGAAGUUCAGAGGUUACUCUUUUGGAAGAUCCAUUCUUGGAUGUGCUGGCAAAAGCACUGUUGUAGAGAUGCUUUUGGGGGAGGCUGCACAUCAUUCAUGAAUAAGUCCCAAAGGCAGCAUUUCUAAUAAUGCGUUGUCUAAUAUGUAUUAGAGCUGGCUUGGAGGUGUCCCUGGGGAGCCCCUCUUUCCUUCGCAUCCAUCCCGGAAGCUCCUCGAGAGGUGCCUCUGAAAGGGAUGUGGUGCCGUCAUCCCUCUGGAGCUUUGAAGCCAUGCAGCCGGACUUCAGCAAGAAUGGUUGCAUGGACUGUUCAAACCCGCACCUGCCGGCCAGCGGCUGAAGAGCCCGUGUUGACCAUAAGGGACAGGAAAGGGAGCACUCUCUGCACAGCCUCGGGGCCCUGCUGUGGCCCUUACCUGGGAGGGCUGGCCUGGCGCAGGCACAGGCUGCUGAGGACCAGCUGCUGGCCGGCCCUGCCCGACCAAGGCCACCUGUGUUUUCAUUCCCAAAUUUAUUUUCUGGUUAUAGGGACAAUGUCCCUAUAACCAGAGUGGUAUUAAUGUGUAGGUGGCACAGUUGUGUACUUAUGGGUGUGGUUUGGGGAACUCUGUCUUAAAGAGACUGCCGGCUCCUUGAGGACAAGAACUUGGAGUUGCUUCCAUGUUUCCUGUUGCUAAACCAGGUUGGCAUAAAGUGGGUGCUCAGCAGAUGUUUACUGAGCCGAAUCCCAUGUACCUACAGGCUCCAAGGUUCCCGCUGUGAUCAUUCAAACUUAUGGAUCUCCUUUGAGGGACAGCUGGAAGUUGUUUACAGAAUCAGACAUGGAGACUUUCUCCUUCAGACGGAAUCUAACUGGUCAGUUUUAAAGCUGUGGCAUUCCCUGGCGGGGCCACUGUGCUAGUUCUCCCCAUGGCGGGCUUUAUAGGAAGGCCCCCUCUUCACACAGAAGCCGGGAAGGCGUGCCUCGGUAAGGGUAUAGCCCUGAGUGUCUGCACCCCCCAAAACCCCUGCUCCCUGCUCGUGUGUGACAAUCUGACUUCAGACAGUUAAUCUUUCUGGCUCAAGCAUUUGGAAUGGAGAUGGACUGAACCCACUGGGCGUUUUAGUUGCAUGUAAGCCGCACUCCGGGCUGAGCUUGCCGAGCUGACUUCACUGUCUGGGCUGCCUGCCUGGGGUGCUGGGAGCCAAGUGCCCAUUUCCAGAAGCUCGCUGUGCUCCCCCAGGUCAGCUCCUGUCUGCCUCACCUCACCGUGGUCUCCUUUUCCUAAUGCGUGAUGGAGACCAGCGUCGUGUGGCAUCCAUGGACCCCAUCGAGGACCUUUUGAUCAGUGGUGGGGUUGGGAUGGGGACAGGAGGUGGUGGGGUUGGGAUGGGGACAGGAGGUGAGCUGCUCAUGGUGUUGAUUUCUUCUCCUCGCAGACACAAGGAGAUUCAGAGGUCCUGUUUGUGCCUCUGUCUGCUUUUUCUUCCUGGAAAUUUUCUUCCUGGGAUUCAGGACCUGAGGAAGGUCUGGGUGUGGCCUCAGCUUUGGGCCAUGAAACCCAUCUGGACAGAUCAGGCUGACCUCUGGGAAGCAUCUGUGUGUGGUUUAGACAGGGAGAGAAGCUGGAUGGAGGGGAGUGGUGCUGAAGUGGGUUGAGCCAGUGGGGGUCAAGCGGCUAAGCUCCAGAGGGGGGUCUGGGCUGCAGGCGAGGAGGCUUCCUGGGGUCCUCAGGCGGCCCCUGCACCCCCAGCUCAGUGGGCCUGGCGAGGAGGCUUCCUGGGGCUGUCAGGCGGCCCCUGCUCCCCCUGCCUCAGUGGGCCUGGCUGUCCCCUUAGCACAACGGCGAGUUCCAACACUGGAUCCCUGGGAGAGCAUCUUUUGUUUGCUUUUGUUUAGUUUAAAAAUAGAUAUAUUAGGAAUCAAGAUGAGAUGAGGUUAGUCCCCAAAGUUAAAUUCCUCUUCCUUGCCUUUGAGCUGUGCCAUUCCGAACGCGUCUCCUUUAGUCCCCCUAGGAUCCGGUCUGGGCUGGGCUUGCGGAUGCCAGGCCCCCCCGAUCCACCGUGUCAGGGCCAGCUCCAUCUGUCCUGUGUCAGUGGGGUCCUCAAACAGGAUUUAUUUUAAAUCAUCACUGCAGGAGAUAAUCUAUUUUCCAUAAUAAUCUGCAGGUAGCUUUACUAAUUUCCUCUGGAGCGGGGAUGGAGGCUCGCCUCGCUUCCGAGAGGCUGGGGCCGCGCCUGGCUGCACUGAUGCCUUAUCGCCCGUGUCCUCACGCAAGGCUUCACUUUGGUGUCAGGAUCUCGGGGGCUCAGAAAUGCGGGUUCAUUGUGGGUGGAGGGUAAGCCCUUCCUCAGCAGGUCAUGACCAGAGGUGGUCGGACGGCAAGGACUGCUCUCCAGGCACGUCCAGCAGGGACAGUGCGGCCGGGCCCUCCCCUCGGCCGCUGGAGGCUGCAGCCCUCAGGUUUCUGGCAGUGACAGGCGUCCUCCAGGGAGGGUCUGAGUCGCACCCUCCACAUUGGCUGAGGACCCAGCUCAUGCUGUGGGAGAGGAGGAAGCUUCCAUGGCUCCAGGACUGUCUUCCUGAAGGAAGUUCGUGGGGGUGGGUGGUGGAAGGGGGUCCGGCCCUAAUGGGGCUCCCGUUGUCCCUCAGCACGGCCUCUGCUGGGGGUGGUGGCCUGAACCCUCACUCCAGGGGCCCAAGCUCCAGGUAGACGUGCCCAGCUUAGCUGUGUGGUUGCCCUUGGGAACCACAGUGGGUCGGGAAUCAGGCGCCCCAGGGAUGUCUGGCUCUACACUGUCCCUCCCUCCCACAGCACAAGGCCUAGUCCCCUCCCUGCCCUGCCCAGAGCCCCCAGUUCCUGCACUCGCGACCCAACUCCUUUGUCCCCACUGACUCCUUUGUCCCCACCUUUACAGACUAUCCCUGUCCCUCUGGCGACCCCGCUUGUGCCUGCUGCUUCCUGCUGUUAUCCCUCCCGGUACCACAUUCUAAUCACUUGCGAUUAGAUCGGCACUCAGGCCUCUGGACACCCGAGCAUGACUUCUGGGACAAGCUGUGUCUUCUCCCCCAACCUUUAAAAAUGUGAACCAUGAUUCAGGUGGUGAAUAAAAGCUGGCACGGAAUUAAGCGGUGGAUGGAUGCGACAUCUUUAUCGCUGUGUCCUGAUUGUGGUGCAGGACGGUCCUCGCGGUGCCGUGGCUGUUUCUGUGGCGGUCGUCGGCGCACUGUGGUGGUGACUGUGGCUCACAUGCACCCUUGGAGGCCCUCGGAGGUGGCACCACAUCUGCGGACACAGCAGCCCCGGUGGCCUCACCCUCUCACUGAGGAUUCCCGCCAUCACCUGGCGACAUCCCCUGAAGAUUCUUUUUAAGAAGUCUGUGCCCUACACGGCAACAUUAGGCUGUAGGCGUCACGCUCCUGUGAUUGUGAAGUCAAGCGACCGCGGCGUCAGGCGGGGCUCCGUGCUGUGAGUGUGGCCAGGCUUGCAGCUGUCAGUGCUGGGGAGAAGUUCAGGGGUCCGGGCAUCUGGGCGGUCCUUCUCUGAUGCCACAUCCUGGGAAUGGAACUCCCUGAAUGGAGGGGCUUCUCUCCGUUUUCUCGGGGCAGUUUUGUGAUCGGCAUUGGCCUUGUGUUCCUUCCUUCCCUCACUGAUGUGCACCCGACGCCUGCAUGUGGACUGACGGCCUGGGGUCAGGACGCUGCUGGGGGUCAGGGGUGUGUGGUGGGCUGUGGCGGGGUGUGGUGAAGCCUGCCUGGCCUCGAGCCCGGUGGAGGCUCUGGGAAGCCCCCUGCUUCCUAGUCCUGACGGGGGCCGGUCUCCACCUUCCUUUGGUGUUCCAGAGACCUGAAGCGGAGGGGCCAGUGUGGCUCCAAGGUGGCCGGGGCUGUGCGGUGGGCUCCGGAGCCCCCGAAGCACUCUUUUUCUGCAGAACCGCAUCUGGGCCUCCGGAAGGAAGCUGCAAAUGAACCGGCAGCAGCUUCCCCGAUGGCCCUGUCUUGGCAGCCCUCAUCCGGGCAAGGACUCUGUGGGAGAGCAGGGCCACUCUCUGUGAUGCCACCGCCGGGAUGGCUGAGCUCCAGCGUGGUGCCCGUCCUGGGUCUGAGGGCCCGGCAGCCGCCCUUCCGUCUGCUGCCAGGAGUGUGUGUGCCCAGCACUGGAGAGCAGUGAGAGGCACUGGUUUCCCAGCACACAGUGUGCGCCUGCCCGCUCACUCUCCCGGCUCCGUGUGUGCGCCCCUCAUCAGCCAGGUGCUCGCUUUCCCGGCUCUGUGUGUGGGGCCCUCACCGGCCAGUGUGUAGCUGCAUGGUGUUUCUGGGGGGCUGCUGGCCUGCCAGGCAUGGCCUCUCAGUGGCCAGCAUGGGGUCUGGGGGUGGUCUGGGAUGGCCAGGCGAGGGGCUAGGGGCUCGGGGGCAGCUGUCAGCCCUUGGGUGUCACCCUGCACUUCCUGCCCUGUGGCCACAUCCUCCCACCCUCUUCUCUGUACAUCACGCUGAAGAACAAACAAAAAAUCUCACCAAACGCGUGUUGGAGGUGGCCAGGCUGGCUCCAUUCCGGGGGCCCUGGUGAUAGGUUUCAGGAUGGCAGCAGCAGGGCCGUGGGAUGGGGAGAGUGGACUCAGCUCCUACCGCCGUGAGGAUGGGGAGGGAGGGGACAGGACGUGUAACCGUGGACGAGGAAGGGCCAGGGAUGGAACACCGUGAACAGGAAGCAUCAGGGUGAGGGGCUCCGACAGAUUUGAUAGGACCACGGCUGAUGGCCGGCAGGGCUCCCAUGACGCUGAUGUGCCGGUAUUUUCACCCAGUGGAGCGGCUCCCCCUCACGAGGACAGAGCGGGAAGCCCCAGGUCAGGCCUCAUUGUCCAUGGCACCAGUCCCCUGCCAGCCUCCUGAUGCUCUCCAGGCGGGCAGGGGCCUUUCGGGCCAGGGGAAGAAAGUGACACCCGCCCUUCUGUGCCUGGCUUUGGGUCACCUGUCCCCGUUCCAGGGCAGCGUGGCACAGGUCUGAGGGCUCUGCUGGUCACUCAGCCCCUGAGGCAGCCCCGCCAGCCCAGGCCCGAGCACCUCUUCCCUCCAGGCUGGGCACAGCCAGUCCCCACCUCCCACCUUCUGCCUCCGCCAGUCCCGGGACAUGGAGUCACACCUUGGAGGAGAUUCACACUGUGUCAUCAGCUGGCGCGCAGGUGACUCCGGAGCGCGGAUCGUGCCAAUCGGCCCAGGGAGGCUCCGCGCCGUCACCAUCUCUCCCCACGCCCUCCGCCCAUCCCUGUCCACCCCCUGACCCACACACCCUCGGCUCUAACCCGGGAUUUCGGGUUUUGCUGCCAUUUAGAAAUGACAUUCUUACUUGUUGAAUUCUAAAAUGGAAGCAACACAGCUGUCUAGUAAAUCAAAUUUAGUGAAUAAACGAGCCGUUCUUGUUUAGUAUUGUCUUUAGGUCUUAUUUCUCAUGUCUCCUUUCAUUAGAGGUUUUCAUUGUAAUCUCUUCGGCUCAACAAAGACAACCAAAUCUGCCCUGUUAAUUUUGUAAUUGAGGUCUAUGCAAACAUAUUGCCAUAGCCAUGGAAAAUGUUUACUCUUUUUCAGCUGAACACACAGUACAUUUUUAGUUGAAUAAGAUCCAACUGAAAGGCAUAAAUCAAGCGUUUAAAAAUAGAAAGAGGAUCGCAAAGCCUAGUAUGUCAAUAUGCUCGUCAAGUGUUAAUGCAGAAAGGCAGAGUUAGGCGGCCCCGGGCGCUGGAAACUGCGUUUGACCUCCUCCCUGCCCCUCUGCGUCUACAGUUCAGUUCUCACAGAGGCCUCUGGCGGGAGGAGCCACCAUUUAGAAUACAGAUGGCCAAAGGAAACACCAUUUUUAAAUAGUUACUUUAAAAAAAUCCUUUCAGAUGAAAAAAUCUGCUAUGGUUGAUCUUUCUGGUGUUGGUGAAAGGAAAGAGAAAUCUCCGUGUGGGGAGGCCCUGGGCAGCGUUCAGGGACCGAGCCCUGUGGAGCGGAAAGGCUCGAGACUGGACCUAUCUUGCAAAAACAAGGCUCCUGUUAGCAGAAUCGAAGUCCAUUGAGGAGCUGGAAGAAGACAGGUCCCUUCUCUAAAGCACUGUGAUUAGCUCAAGCUCGUUGGAUUUGCACUUUUGGAGAAGAUGUGUUCAGUGAGGGCUGUGGAAGGCUAGGCAGGCUGGACGCCCGGCUAGAGGCCAAGCCUGCAGACGGCAGAAAGGCGAAUGCACCUUCCAGAUGGCCGCCUUUCCUGAAGAACUGCCUGGGGUUGCAUUUGUGGAAGCCAGCCAUCCUUCAUCAACAAAGCAACAAAUAUCGAUUGUUCAAUUUACACAUUUUCAUUUUCAUAAUUUUAUUUGUACACAUUUGAACACCCUGAGGUUUGUAAACAUUUAGUAACUUAUCCAAAGGUCACAGGACUAUCCACGCUUCAAAUCCGGGCCCCUGUCCUGGACUUGCAGGGGUGCAGGAUGAAGAAACCCCAGCCUGCUGUGAGGGACCUGAGGCUGCUGGGAGAGCUGAGAAGUGUGUGCGGUUGCAAUGACGAAGCGUGCACGGUGGCUGGGAGAGCUGGGAGGUGUGUGCGGUUGUGAUGAUGAAGUGUGCACGGUGGCUGGGAGAGCUGGGAGGUGUGUGCGGUUGUGAUGAUGAAGUGUGCACGGUGGCUGGGAGAGCUGGGAGGUGUGUGCGGUUGUGAUGAUGAAGUGUGCACGGUGGCUGGGAGAGCUGGGAGGUGUGUGCGGUUGUGAUGAUGAAGUGUGCACGGUGGCUGGGAGAGCUGGGAGGUGUGUGCGGUUGUGAUGAUGAAGUGUGCACGGUGGCUGGGAGAGCUGGGAGGUGUGUGCGGUUGUGAUGAAGUGUGCACGGUGGCUGGGAGAGCUGGGAGGUGUGUGCGGUUGUGAUGAUGAAGUGUGCACGGUCGCUGGGAGAGCUGGGAGGUGUGUGCAGUUGCGAUGACGAUGUGUGCACAGUGACGGCACUGCAAAAUGUGACGGAGGCUCCGAGCAGGGGUUCCUAGGGGCCGGAGGCUGGGUCUACCCUGGUUGGGGCUGGCCCGGUGGAAGGAACGAGAAAGACAGUCUCAGGAACAGUGACGUGUGGAGAUGGGAGGAUGAGACACGCCCCCAGUACUGAAGGAGACCCUGGUGGUGGCAAAGGCGGGUUGGGACAGAAUGUGGGAGGCUUUGAACAUCAAGACACGAGUCUGGACUCAUUUAUAGUCAGUAUUUUUUUAUGAGUUAAACAAAAAGACGUGUGGCAUUUUGGGGUCUGGACACUUUUAAAUCAAUGACUCCUAAGUGUUUACAAAGCAGGAAACAAGGUUUGAACCAUGAGCUUCAGGAGCAGGACGGGCUCCUGGAGCCUGAAAGGAGCCCAGUCUCCCUCUCUGUGGGCGGCCGGAUGCUCCUGACUUGGGUCAAGAGGGAGAGUCGUUCUCCUGGUCUCUAUGCCGGGCUGUGACCACUGCCUGUCAUUCAAGAUGACCCUUUCGGGGUGUUGAGGACUGAGGCAGCUCUGGAAUGUCACCCUACCUGUAACCUAACCUGCCCAGCUUCAUGGGUGCUGGGAGGAGAUAUGGGGCUCUGAGGUCAGGGAGGGAGGACAGCUUGUUACAGCAGUGACAGUGGCUGUGAACCCGCAGGACCCCAUGUCUACUCAGCCCCGUGAAGGGACCAGUGCUGCCGCACACACCAUGAGUCAGGGUCAUAGGAGAGCACCCCUGAGUCUUCUGCCACAGAGGAAGGCACUGCCUUUGCCUUCCAGGGCUGUAUUUGCUUUCAGGCGUCCUUGAACAGGUAGGCCUGAACAAAGGGGAGGCCAGUGUCUCGCUACAUGGGGUGUAUGGAAAAUGUGCCACCCGCAGAGAAUUGCCUUCCAGUGGUGAAUCGGUGGCAGCUGGCAGACCCAGCUGAGCUGUGCUGUGGGUAAGCCAGUGGUGGGAGAGGCCUCGCCCCUGGAAGCAUGGUGCCCAUGUGUUGCCGCCACGUCCCUGGGGUCUCUGGGCUGGAGUUCCAAAGUCGUCUUCAUCAUGAAGAAGCACAUCCAGGCUAUGGGCAGAACUGUCUUGAAGCCGUCCAGCUGUUUAAAUUCUACAUUCUGUGGGGCAUGCACGGGGUUGGCUUAUUCAACCUUCCUUCCAUUCUCCCUGUGGUUGGAGAAGACAGAGAACAAAACAACUCAUUUCCAAGAUGCUUGGCAGCUGGGCAGAGUCCACCAACGAGAGGCACCCAAAGGCAAUCCAAAAGACAGGCGGAAGAGGAGCGCAUCUUGUUGCCAUUGUGCCAUGUUUGCUGGAAAGCACCGUUGUUGAGAUGUGAGUAUUUCUGCGUGAUGUCCGUUCUUCAAACCCCAGACGCAGUUGGAUGGCAGCGGAUGGCAGCCGUGACCCCGCGGGCUCCCGGCUUCUGCUCCUGGUCCCCAGCUGGCUCAGGUGAAUCCAUGGUCAAUGGCAGCCCCAGGAAUGGCGGCCCCCAUGAUGGGUGGGCUUUACAUUGUCCUGCAAGUAGUUUCUGGGAGCCACAGCCAAGUGAGAACUUGCUUCAACUUUCCAGUCACUUUCAGAGACACCAGCAUUACCUCCUUUCCUGCUGAAGACACCUGGAGUGGCUUCCCUUCUCUGCCUCAAACCCUGACUGGUUCACAUUCUUAGUUCAUACCUUACUGUUGUUUACAAAUCACCUGCAAACUCUUGGCCACAGUGCAGCGGGGGCGGGGCUGAGCACUCUGCUCCUAGGGUGUGGCCAUCGUGGCUGAGCACUCUGCUCCCAGGGGGCGGUCAGGCAGGGGUCCGGGAUGGAGAGAGGGCGGCCCCAUUAGGGGCGAUGAGAUGCUCUCGAAUCUGAUUUGAUCAUCCCCACUCCUGCUCCUCAGCCCCCUGGAGCCGCAUGUCUCCUUCAAGGCUGCUGUGAUGUGGAUUUUCACCUGGCGUCCAUGGAUAGCCACGUCCAGUGGGGAGGGGUGUGGGAGCAGGAGAGCCCCUCGGGGGCCCCACCCUCCUCCUGCGCACGUUGCUGCUGCUGGAAUGGCAGGACACAAGCUGCUCCAGACUCAGUGAGCCCUCAUUAGUGAGCUUUCUUCAUGGGCUCAGGAAGAUCUACGGCCCUUUGUCUACUUUUGAAUAACAAGUUAUCCCAAAUGCAAUGGCUUAAAGCACACAUUAUGGCACAGUUUAUGGGGUCGGGAAUCCAGGGCCUGUAGCUGGGCACCUCCUGCCCAGGGCUUCUCCUGAGGACAGCAAGCUGUGGCCAGGCCCAGGUCUCAU